GCUUGCUUCUUCUGAUUUUAGCGGCGGACGGGUGAGUAACACGUGGGCAACCUACCUUGUAGAUUGGGAUAACUCCGGGAAACCGGGGCUAAUACCGAAUAAACCAUUUUGCUUCAUGGCAAGAUGUUGAAAGGCGGCUUCGGCUGUCACUACUAGAUGGGCCCGCGGCGUAUUAGCUAGUUGGUAGGGUAAUGGCCUACCAAGGCGACGAUACGUAGCCGACCUGAGAGGGUGAUCGGCCACACUGGGACUGAGACACGGCCCAGACUCCUACGGGAGGCAGCAGUAGGGAAUCUUCCACAAUGGACGAAAGUCUGAUGGAGCAACGCCGCGUGAGUGAAGAAGGUUUUCGGAUCGUAAAACUCUGUUGUAAGGGAAGAACACGUACGAGAGUAACUGCUCGUACCUUGACGGUACCUUAUUAGAAAGCCACGGCUAACUACGUGCCAGCAGCCGCGGUAAUACGUAGGUGGCAAGCGUUGUCCGGAAUUAUUGGGCGUAAAGCGCGCGCAGGCGGUUCUUUAAGUCUGAUGUGAAAGCCCACGGCUCAACCGUGGAGGGUCAUUGGAAACUGGAGAACUUGAGUACAGAAGAGGAAAGCGGAAUUCCACGUGUAGCGGUGAAAUGCGUAGAGAUGUGGAGGAACACCAGUGGCGAAGGCGGCUUUCUGGUCUGU
rnacentral:rRNA from 1 species